ensembl:ncRNA T19B10.17 ncRNA
AAAUCAGAAUAAGCGAAGAAGCGGUUCAAAUGUUUCAUCGAAGCGUGAUGAAUUUGAUGUCGGGAUCCCGCCAGGCAAAACACAGAGAGAAAGAGAGAUCGGUCGCGCUGCAGGACGCAAUAAUCCUAUUACACAAUCGACCAUACAUGUUCCAAUUUCCCAGAUACCUACUUUCCAUUGUCCAU